rnacentral:rRNA from 2 species
GGAACUUCCGCAAUGGACGAAAGUCUGACGGAGCAACGCCGCGUGAGUGAUGAAGGUUUUCGGAUCGUAAAGCUCUGUUGUUAGGGAAGAACAAGUACCGUUCGAAUAGGGCGGUACCUUGACGGUACCUAACCAGAAAGCCACGGCUAACUACGUGCCAGCAGCCGCGGUAAUACGUAGGUGGCAAGCGUUGUCCGGAAUUAUUGGGCGUAAAGGGCUCGCAGGCGGUUUCUUAAGUCUGAUGUGAAAGCCCCCGGCUCAACCGGGGAGGGUCAUUGGAAACUGGGGAACUUGAGUGCAGAAGAGGAGAGUGGAAUUCCACGUGUAGCGGUGAAAUGCGUANAGAUGUGGAGGAACACCAGUGGCGAAGGCGACUCUCUGGUCUGUAACUGACNCUGAGGAGCGAAGCGUGGGGGAGCGAACAGGAUUAGAUACCCUGGUAGUCCCGCCGUAACGAUGAGUGCUAAUGUUAGGGGGUUUCCCCCCUUAGUGCUCAGCUACCCAUAAGCCCUCCCCUGGGGAGUACGGUCGCAAGACUGAACUCAAAGGAAUUGACGGGGGCCCGCACAAGCGGUGGAGCAUGUGGUUAAUUCGAAGCAACGCGAAGAACCUUACCAGGUCUUGACAUCNUNUGACAAUCCUAGAGAUAGGACGUCCCCUUCGGGGGCAGAGUGACAGGUGGUGCAUGGUUGUCGUCAGCUCGUGUCGUGAGAUGUUGGGUUAAGUCCCGCAACGAGCGCAACCCUUGAUCUUAGUUGCCAGCAUUCAGUUGGGCACUCUAAGGUGACUGCCGGUGACAAACCGGAGGAAGGUGGGGAUGACGUCAAAUCAUCAUGCCCCUUAUGACCUGGGCUACACACGUGCUACAAUGGACAGAACAAAGGGCAGCGAAACCGCGAGGUUAAGCCAAUCCCACAAAUCUGUUCUCAGUUCGGAUCGCAGUCUGCAACUCGACUGCGUGAAGCUGGAAUCGCUAGUAAUCGCGGAUCAGCAUGCCGCGGGAAUGCCUUCUGGG